UAGAGAGAAGCCUGCAGUGAAUCCAGCUGAAGAUACGGAAGGUCACUGAGAAGGGGAAGCCCACACGACUCCCAGGAUGAGGAGAGUGGACCAGCUGAGAAGACUGGGUUGCGCUCUGUUACACAGCCUGAUGUCCCAUUCCUGGGGUCCAGUGAUCCUCCUGCCUGAACCACCUGAGUAGCUGGGAGUACAGCCCCAGUCUCCCGCCCCAUCAUCCAGGCAGAAGAGGAACAUGGGCGAUCAUUGGAUUCAAAGAAGAUGAAUGUGGAUCUGCCAGAGUUUUCUGACUUGACCCGGAGUCUAGAAC